rnacentral:tRNA from 1 species
CUGGGUGGCACAAAUAGUUUGUGCUUGUCUACUAAUCAAAAGGUUGGUGGUUCGAAUCCACCCACCCAGC